ACUCCUACGGGAGGCAGCAGUGGGGAAUAUUGCACAAUGGGCGCAAGCCUGAUGCAGCCAUGCCGCGUGUAUGAAGAAGGCCUUCGGGUUGUAAAGUACUUUCAGCGGGGAGGAAGGCGAUGAGGUUAAUACCCUUGUCAAUUGACGUUACCCGCAGAAGAAGCACCGGCUAACUCCGUGCCAGCAGCCACGGUAAUACGGAGGGUGCAAGCGU
rnacentral:rRNA from 1 species